UACGAAGGGGGCUAGCGUUGCUCGGAAUCACUGGGCGUAAAGCGCACGUAGGCGGGUCGUUUAAGUCGGGGGUGAAAUCCUGGAGCUCAACUCCAGAACUGCCUUCGAUACUGAGAGUCUUGAGUCCGGGAGAGGUGAGUGGAACUGCGAGUGUAGAGGUGAAAUUCGUAGAUAUUCGCAAGAACACCAGUGGCGAAGGCGGCUCACUGGCCCGGUACUGACGCUGAGGUGCGAAAGCGUGGGGAGCAAACAGGG
rnacentral:rRNA from 1 species